UUGAGAAAAGUUGCAAGGUUCCUGAAGAACCUGAUACUGAAUAAUGUCUGAAAGAAGACAUAAGUGGAAAGGUUCAAAGAGAACCUGAUACUGAAAGAUGUCUGAAAGAAGGCAUAAGUGGAAAUGUUCCAGAAGAACCUGAUACUGAAAAAUGUCUGAAAGAAGGCAUAGAUGAAAAGGGUCAAGAUGAACCAAAUAAAGAUGAUCCAGAUGACGAAAAGGGAACAGA
rnacentral:lncRNA from 1 species